GCCGAAGUGGCGGAACUGGUAGACGCGCACGACUCAAAAUCGUGUACCGCAAGGUGUGAGGGUUCGAGUCCCUCCUUCGGCA
rnacentral:tRNA from 1 species